GCGACUUUCAUUCAGCUACCAACAUGAUCAAAAGAAAUAUUUCUACCAGUUACUCUUGAGUCACCUCCAAGCAUUCCCUUAUCCCAAAUUGAUAUUAAAAGAGAAUGUUGAUGAGCCUGAUCCGUCGAUUCAAAUACCAUAACACAGCCAACCCCAAAAAAACAACAGCAAACAAGUGAGCAAGCUGAC